AAAAAAUCAGACUUCCACUUGAAGCAAUUGCAUCUUUUAGGAUUAAUGUGGCUCAGCGGAGCUCUGCUGUGCUUUUAGGAUUACUGUGGCUCAGCGGAGCUCUGCACAAAGGGUCCGCGACUGGGAUGGGGGUGGGGAGUGAACGUCAAGGGGCCCAGGAGCGCUCGAGCGUCCAAGGCCCGGCGUGUGGAGCAGCUGGAGGGAGAAGACAGACUGCUGCUUUGGACCUGUUGGUAAUGAUGGCCUGAGCUAAACAUCUAACUAGAAGGGAUACCCUUCCAUUUCAAAGAACAGAAUGCUAAGGAAGCUGUGGCAAGUGAUUGGAGUUGUGCUUCAAAAAUUUCAGAAAUUCAGCAGUAUUUUAUCUGCCAACAAUAAGCUCUUUACUUGAUUGCACCAUGAGAAAGCUGCUAAUGAGACUUGUUGAGCACAAAAAUGGACUUGAAGAACCAAAAGCCAUUGUUUUCAAAUGAAGAACACUGAACAGUUUUAAGCCUCGAUGCUUUUUAAUCACCACUGAGCUUUUCCUCAUAACAUCAGAAUGGCAAGCAGGCGAAAAUCAACAACACCUUGCAUGGUCCUUGCCAGUGAACAAGAUCCAGACCUUGAGUUGAUAUCAGAUUUGGAUGAAGGUCCUCCUGUGCUUACACCUGUAGAAAACACCAGAGCAGAGAGUAUCUCAAGUGAUGAAGAGGUUCAUGAAUCUGUGGAUUCAGACAAUCAGCAAAAUAAAAAAGUUGAAGGUGGAUAUGAAUGUAAAUAUUGUACUUUUCAAACUCCAGAUCUAAAUAUGUUUACUUUUCAUGUGGAUUCGGAACAUCCCAAUGUAGUGCUAAAUUCAUCCUAUGUUUGUGUCGAAUGCAAUUUUCUUACCAAAAGGUAUGAUGCACUUUCUGAGCAUAAUCUGAAAUAUCACCCAGGAGAAGAGAAUUUUAAGUUGACUAUGGUGAAACGUAAUAACCAGACAAUCUUUGAACAAACAAUAAAUGAUCUGACUUUUGAUGGUAGUUUUGUUAAAGAGGAGAAUGCAGAGCAAGCAGAAUCUACAGAAGUUUCUUCUUCGGGAAUAUCUAUCAGUAAAACUCCUAUCAUGAAAAUGAUGAAAAAUAAAGUGGAAAAUAAACGGAUUGCAGUUCAUCAUAACUCAGUUGAGGACGUUCCUGAAGAGAAAGAGAAUGAAAUCAAACCAGACCGUGAAGAAAUUGUAGAAAAUCCAAGUUCUUCAGCUUCUGAAUCUAAUACAAGUACUUCCAUUGUAAACAGAAUACAUCCAAGUACUGCCAGCACGGUAGUGACACCAGCAGCAGUUCUUCCUGGAUUGGCACAGGUGAUAACUGCUGUAUCUGCUCAGCAGAAUUCUAAUUUGAUUCCCAAAGUCUUAAUCCCUGUUAAUAGCAUUCCCACCUACAAUGCUGCAUUGGAUAACAAUCCCCUUUUACUUAACACCUACAACAAGUUCCCUUACCCAACAAUGUCAGAAAUUACAGUUCUUUCUGCUCAAGCAAAAUAUACAGAGGAACAGAUCAAGAUAUGGUUUUCAGCCCAACGUUUAAAACAUGGUGUUAGUUGGACUCCCGAGGAAGUAGAGGAGGCAAGAAGGAAACAAUUCAAUGGAACAGUGCAUACUGUACCUCAGACCAUAACUGUUAUUCCUACACACAUUUCCACAGGGAGUAAUGGUUUACCAUCUAUUUUACAGACAUGCCAAAUAGUUGGUCAGCCUGGUCUGGUCCUUACUCAAGUGGCUGGAACAAACACCUUGCCAGUUACAGCACCUAUAGCCUUGACAGUGGCAGGCGUUCCAAGUCAAAAUAAUAUACAGAAAAGUCAGGUACCUGCUGCUCAGCCUACUGCAGAAACAAAGCCAGCAACAGCAGCAGUUCCAACUUCUCAAAGUGUCAAACAUGAAACUGCAUUGGUAAACCCUGAUUCAUUUGGCAUUCGGGCAAAAAAGACAAAAGAGCAACUGGCAGAAUUAAAAGUUAGCUACCUUAAAAAUCAGUUUCCCCAUGAUUCAGAAAUUAUCAGACUUAUGAAAAUAACAGGCCUGACGAAAGGAGAGAUUAAAAAAUGGUUUAGUGACACAAGGUACAACCAGAGAAAUUCAAAGAGUAAUCAGUGCUUACAUCUCAACAAUGAUUCCUCUACCACCAUUAUUAUAGACUCCAGUGAUGAAACCACGGAAUCCCCAACUGUUGGUACUGCACAGCCUAAGCAAUCCUGGAAUCCUUUUCCUGACUUUACUCCCCAAAAGUUUAAAGAGAAAACUGCAGAGCAGCUUCGUGUCCUUCAGGCAAGUUUUCUCAACAGCUCUGUACUUACAGAUGAAGAAUUAAAUAGGUUAAGGGCACAAACCAAACUUACCAGAAGAGAAAUCGAUGCUUGGUUUACAGAGAAGAAGAAAUCAAAAGCUUUAAAGGAAGAGAAAAUGGAAAUAGAUGAAAGUAAUGCAGGUAGUUCCAAAGAAGAAGCUGGAGAAACUUCUCCUGCAGAUGAAUCUGGUGCACCUAAGUCAGGGAGUACAGGCAAGAUAUGUAAAAAAACACCUGAGCAGCUGCACAUGCUUAAGAGUGCAUUUGUCCGGACACAGUGGCCAUCACCAGAAGAGUAUGACAAGUUGGCCAAAGAAAGCGGGCUUGCUAGAACAGACAUAGUUAGUUGGUUUGGGGACACCCGUUAUGCUUGGAAGAAUGGAAACUUGAAAUGGUACUACUACUAUCAGAGCGCCAAUUCAAGUAGUAUGAAUGGUCUGUCUUCCCUUAGGAAAAGAGGGAGAGGGAGACCCAAAGGACGGGGAAGAGGAAGACCGCGUGGGCGGCCUAGAGGAAGCAAAAGAAUUAACAACUGGGACAGGGGACCAUCACUCAUAAAAUUUAAAACUGGAACUGCAAUACUUAAGGAUUAUUACCUGAAGCACAAGUUUCUUAAUGAGCAAGACCUUGAUGAACUUGUUAACAAAUCACAUAUGGGCUAUGAGCAGGUCAGAGAGUGGUUUGCAGAAAGACAGAGAAGAUCAGAAUUAGGUAUAGAAUUAUUUGAGGAAAAUGAGGAGGAAGAUGAAGUUAUUGAUGACCAGGAAGAGGAUGAAGAAGAAACAGAUGAUAGUGACACUUGGGAACCUCCACGACAUGUGAAACGGAAGCUGUCUAAAUCAGAUGACUGAAAUCUGCCUAAAACGUUGAAGGAGAAUCAAUUCUUCAACUCAAGAUGUCUGAUUUACUGUGAAUUUGCCCAAUCUUUGAUGACAUUGAAAACGUUUUGGGGCAUACACACUCAAAAAGCAGGAUCCAAUACCCAAAAGAAAUGGAACUUAAUGUUGUGCCAAAGUUAAACUACUGCAGUUGGUGGAAGUUCUGCAAUGUAAAUAGAACACUAAUUAAAAAACAACUUGUAAAAAUGCAAUUUAAAUUUUAAUACAGUACAUUUUUCUUCUAAUAUGAUGGAGACAUUCUGAAUCUUAGACUUUCUGAGGGGGUUUAAUGACCACUAGAGCUUGUCCUCAUAUUCAGUCCAGUUUAAUACUGUAUGUCUAGUAAGAUGGGCUAUAUAUUGCCUCUAUUCUUUGAGAUGUGAUUAAGCUUAGAACUUUGACCAAAAAUUUUACAGUAAAAAUUGUUAGAAAUGGGUAAAAAAAAAAAAAAAAAAAAAACCCUGAUUUAUUACUAUGUCUUAUUUAUCAGACCCUGCACUAAGAUUAAAAGUUGUGCAUGGGCUUAUACAAUUUCAAAUGUAAAAACAGCCUAUUUAUAUAUGUUGAAACAAUAAGAUUUUAUGGUUUCACUGGCCCUUAAUAAUUGGAUCCUUCAUUAAACACAUCCAUGAAUACCACUGUUUCUACUGUUACUUGUUCCAUUAGAAGCUGAUUUGCUUUUUAUUAAACUGCAGGAAAUUAAUUCUGAAGAAGGAAAAGAAACUGACAUGGUAAUUUGGAUAGGGUGAAGCUUUGAAAUAAAUACUGCACCAAAAAUGUGAAAAAGAAUCACGUAGUAAAUGUAUACUUAGUGUUUUCUUACAAUCGUGGAAAUCAGAAAUGUUUAUACAGGUGUCAGAUCAGAAUUUUUAAGAGUUAUCUUUCAGUGAAAUUUUAUAACAGUUUCAGUGAAUAGAGAAAAAAUUCUGAACUGAUCAUAAUGAGUUAAAAGUUAGCUUUUCACUUAUGAAUCAUGGGAGUGUUAACUGUUAACUCUUGCCGUAUCAGGAGACUGAAAGUUCAUACUAAUUUACAAACUUUGUAAAGACUGGUGCUGUUCAUUCAUAUUGGGAAGAACCCUUUCUUUUGUGACCAUAGGACCAUUUUUCAAAAUGCGCUUUCUUCGUAGAAGAAAUGUUCAGUUUAAUUAGCUUUGGAUUUUAACAUGUUUUUCUGAAUGACCAGAUGUAGGCUUAGCCAGUUUAUUUUCUCUAAUUUAAUGGAUAAUAAAUAUUAAGCUCUUGGUUAAAUGUUUUUCAGCCAUUGAAAAUGUUAUGAAAAAGCCUUGAAUAUGCAUGCUGCUUUCAUUUUUAUAAACUUUUUAUUUUUUAACUAUAGCUUUAUUAGUAAUUCCAAAAUGCUGCAAUGUAGCUGAUUUCCUCACUCAGACAGCUGGCUUUGUGGGUGGCUUUUUUCAUACUACUGUUAACUUUUUUAAAAAAGAAGCAAUGUAAAGACCGUAAUGCACUAAGCUUUUUUUUUUUCUUUUACACGUUUAAAAACUUCUUAAAGCACUCUGUAAUAUAAUGAUUAAAUUGCUCCCUUUUAUAAACAUUGCUAAUGUGGUCUGAGUUUUGUUUGACAAUAAUUUUAAUGUUCUCAAAAUUUGAAAUGUCAAGUAUUAGAAAUGAAGCCUUUGAAUAUAGUUGUUUCCCUUGCAAUAUGUUAACUCUGUGUAGCUGUAUAUAACUAUUAAUUUCCCUCAUCUCUUUUAUAGGCCUGAUAAAACUCUUCUCUGACGUUUGCUAGCUUUUAAAUAUAUUUAUUUGACAGAGCAAAAGAACCCUCUUCUGGUUGAUUGUGACCUUGAAUACAAAAUAAAAGUAGUGAUUAGUAGUUUA